AGCCUCCACUGACCCUUCCAGAAGUUCCAUGACUUCCAGACGUUUACUGAGCCAAAUCUAUAGAUAAGAGAAAAGCAUCGGAGGAGAAGAGGAUUUUUCAUCGGAGGUUCUAUGCAAGGAGUAUUUGGGUUGUUCUUUUGGUGUUGUUCCUGGUUUUGUUAGUUGGUUUUACUUGGUUGUGCUGCUGUGAAUCAGGAAAUGAUGGAGAAGAAUGGAAAUGCACUAAAACGUCAACCUUAG